GGGAAUAUUGGACAAUGGGCGAAAGCCUGAUCCAGCGACGCCGCGUGGGUGAAGAAGGCCUUCGGGUUGUAAAGCCCUUUAAGCCGGGACGAAAAAGCUACACCUAACACGUGUGGCCUUGACGGUACCGGAGGAAUAAGCACCGGCUAACUCUGUGCCAGCAGCCGCGGUAAUACGUAGGGAGCAAGCGUUGUCCGGAUUUAUUGGGCGUAAAGAGCUCGUAGGCGGUUCGGUAAGUCGGGUGUGAAAACUCUGGGCUCAACCCGGAGAGGCCACUCGAUACUGCCGUGACUUGAGUCUGGUAGGGGAGCACGGAAUUCCUGGUGUAGCGGUGAAAUGCACAGAUAUCAGGAGGAACACCGGUGGCGAAGGCGGUGCUCUGGGCCAGUACUGACGCUGAGGAGCGAAAGCGUGGGGAGCGAA
rnacentral:rRNA from 1 species